AUUUAAGCAUAUCAAUAAGCGGAGGAAAGAAACUAACAAGGAUUCCCCCAGUAACGGCGAGUGAAGCGGGAACGGCUCAAAUUUGAAAUCUCCGUUGUUUCAACGGCGAAUUGUAGUUUCGAGAAGCACUUUCUAGGCGGAUCUUCUUCGUCUAAGUUGCUUGGAACAGCACGUCAUAGAGGGUGACAACCCCGUCUGGGACGAAGGAGACCGCUGACGAUGUGUUUUCAAAGAGUCGGGUUGUUUGGGAAUGCAGCCCAAAAUGGGUGGUAAACUCCAUCUAAAGCUAAAUAUWGGCACGAGACCGAUAGCGAACAAGUACCGUGAGGGAAAGAUGAAAAGAACUUUGAAAAGAGAGUUAAAAAGUACGUGAAACCGUUAAAAGGGAAACGAAUGGAGUUAGCAAUGCACCCUGCAAGAUUCAGCCGGCAGGUGGUGCGGACGGGCGGUUGGCRGAUCUGCAUGGACCGCCGCCGUUCGGCUCGCGCUCCCCGCCGUCGCACUUCUUGCGAGUGCGCGUCAACGUCGGUUCGRCGCCGGUGUCAAAAGCUGGUGGAAAGGUAGGUCGYCGACUUMGGUYGACGACUGUUAUAGCCYGCCUUCUGAUGGCCGGAGCCGGACCGAGGCGUCGCAGCGCAUGCCUCUUUUGGCUAGGGUCCUYUGUGGCCGGUCGGUUGUCGACCGUGGUGGACUGCUUGCAGUGCACCCGAACUGCUGCCGGUCGCUCGCGAGGUGACUUCGUACAAUGCGCUCAGGACGUUGGCRGUCAUAUGGCUUCAUCCGACCCGUCUUGAAACACGGACCAAGGAGUCUAGCCUGUGCGCGAGUCUUUGGGUGACAGAAACCCCCGGGCGCAAUGAAAGUGAAAGCGGUUUCGGCCGCCGAGGUGAGAACCCUUCCCUUGCGGAGGGGUGCAUCAUUGACCGAUCUAUUCUACUCUUAGGAAGAUUUGAGUAA
rnacentral:rRNA from 1 species